GGAAACCUAAAAUUCCUAAGGCAAAUGAAACAGGUAGCCAGCAGCUUUCAAACAAACCCUGAGAACCAAAACCUAGCCAGAAAUGCUUCCUGUGACUCUCCAAUGGAUCUUCCCACCAUAAUGCAGAUUUGCAGGUACUGAAGAUACUAAUACGAACAAGAUGUAUGAACAGCCUGUCUUCAUUAAGCUUACACUGUGAGGACAGAGAUCUAAUGAAUAAGUAGAAAUGCAGACAAGUCGUGAUACGUCCUGCAAAGGAAGUUUACAAGGGCUGACAUAACAAUUGCUGUGGAAACACAUUUUGAUUGAGUAGUCAGGGCAGGCCUGAGAAGGGCUAUUUGGACAGAGACCUAAAGGUCUAGAAUGAGCUAGUCACCUCCCUUAUAUGUCUGAUCUGCUCUGUAACAGCUGCUCUAACACAGUGCCUGGCCCAUG